rnacentral:rRNA from 1 species
GGCCCUUUGUUAUAUUAAAAGAUAGGGGGUCUGGCCUGCCCAGUGACAUGAGGUUAAACGGCCGCGGUAUCCUGACCGUGCAAAGGUAGCGUAAUAAUUUGCCUAUUAAUUGUGGGCUAGUAUGAAUGGCUUGACGAGGGUGAAACUGUCUCUUAGUGGGGUAUAUGGAAUUUAUUUUCUAGGUGAAGAGACCUGGAUAUGGCUAAGGGACGAUAAGACCCUAUCGAGCUUUAGUGUAGCUAUAAGUUAUAUGAGAGGAGUAUAUAUACAUUUGUUGUUAUAGUGAAUCUUUGGUUGGGGCGACUGUAAAGUAUGAUUAACCUUUAAUUAAAAAUAUGUUGGUUUAUAGAUAAUAGAUCUGGCUUAUUUUGUGCAGAUAAAAAGAAUAAGUUACCGUAGGGAUAACAGCGUAAUCUUUUUGGAGAGUUCUUAUUGAGAAAAGGGUUUGCGACCUCGAUGUUGGACUAAGAUAACCAAAUGGUGUAGCAGCUAUUUAUGGUUGGUCUGUUCGACCAUUAAAAUCUUACA